CACGUAGGGUGCGAGCGUUGUCCGGAAUUAUUGGGCGUAAAGAGCUCGUAGGCGGUGUGUCGCGUCGGCCGUGAAAACCUGCAGCUUAACUGUGGGCUUGCGGUCGAUACGGGCAUCACUGGAGUUCGGCAGGGGAGACUGGAGUUCCUGGUGUAGCGGUGAAAUGCGCAGAUAUCAGGAGGAACACCGGUGGCGAAGGCGGGUCUCUGGGCCGAUACUGACGCUGAGGAGCGAAAGCGUGGGGAGCGAACAGG
rnacentral:rRNA from 1 species